rnacentral:rRNA from 1 species
UAGAGGAAGUAAAAGUCGUAACAAGGUCUCCGUUGGUGAACCAGCGGAGGGAUCAUUACUGAGUUUACGCUCUAUAACCCUUUGUGAACAUACCUAUAACUGUUGCUUCGGCGGGUAGGGUCUCCGCGACCCUCCCGGCCUCCCGCCUCCGGGCGGGUCGGCGCCCGCCGGAGGAUAACCAAACUCUGAUUUAACGACGUUUCUUCUGAGUGGUACAAGCAAAUAAUCAAAACUUUUAACAACGGAUCUCUUGGUUCUGGCAUCGAUGAAGAACGCAGCGAAAUGCGAUAAGUAAUGUGAAUUGCAGAAUUCAGUGAAUCAUCGAAUCUUUGAACGCACAUUGCGCCCGCCAGCAUUCUGGCGGGCAUGCCUGUUCGAGCGUCAUUUCAACCCUCAAGCUCUGCUUGGUGUUGGGGCCCUACAGCUGAUGUAGGCCCUCAAAGGUAGUGGCGGACCCUCUCGGAGCCUCCUUUGCGUAGUAACUUUACGUCUCGCACUGGGAUCCGGAGGGACUCUUGCCGUAAAACCCCCAAUUUUCCAAAGGUUGACCUCGGAUCAGGUAGGAAUACCCGCUGAACUUAAGCAUAUCAAUA